rnacentral:rRNA from 1 species
UACGAAGGGGGCUAGCGUUGUUCGGAAUUACUGGGCGUAAAGCGCACGUAGGCGGACUGUUAAGUCAGGGGUGAAAUCCUGGAGCUCAACUCCAGAACUGCCUUUGAUACUGAUGGUCUCGAGUCCGGAAGAGGUGAGUGGAAUUCCGAGUGUAGAGGUGAAAUUCGUAGAUAUUCGGAGGAACACCAGUGGCGAAGGCGGCUCACUGGUCCGGUACUGACGCUGAGGCGCGAAAGCCAGGGGAGCAAACGGG